rnacentral:rRNA from 1 species
AGAGGGGCCCGCGUCUGAUUAGCUAGUUGGUGGGGUAACGGCCUACCAAGGCAACGAUCAGUAGCUGGUCUGAGAGGAUGAUCAGCCACACUGGGACUGAGACACGGACCAGACUCCUACGGGAGGCAGCAGUGAGGAAUAUUGGACAAUGGACGAAAGUCUGAUCCAGCUAUGCCGCGUGCAGGAUGACGGCCCUAUGGGUUGUAAACUGCUUUUAUACAGGAAGAAAAACUCCGACGUGUCGGAACUUGACGGUACUGUAAGAAUAAGGAUCGGCUAACUCCGUGCCAGCAGCCGCGGUAAUACGGAGGAUCCAAGCGUUAUCCGGAAUCAUUGGGUUUAAAGGGUCCGUAGGCGGUUUUUUAAGUCAGAGGUGAAAUCCUGCAGCUCAACUGUAGAAUUGCCUUUGAUACUGAAAGACUUGAGUUAUUGUGAAGUGGUUAGAAUGUGUGGUGUAGCGGUGAAAUGCAUAGAUAUCACACAGAAUACCAAUUGCGAAGGCAGAUCACUAACAAUUAACUGACGCUCAGGGACGAAAGCGUGGUAGCGAACGGAUUGAUCCCGG